rfam:Gossypium hirsutum cultivar TM-1 chromosome 20, whole genome shotgun sequence
UGUUGAAAUUUUCAUUCAUUUCUACUGUUAAAAACCGACUUAGUUGAUGGAAUGAUCAUAUAGUUACACGUGACGUGCCGAUGUACCUUAUGUUGAGAUACAUGGACAAAAUUUUAACAGUAGAAAUGGAUAAAAAAUUUUAACA